rnacentral:rRNA from 1 species
CCUACGGGUGGCAGCAGUGAGGAAUAUUGGACAAUGGGCGAGAGCCUGAACCAGCCAAGUCGCGUGAAGGAUGAAGGACCUCCGGGUGGAAAACUUCUUUUGUAAGGGAGCAAUUGGGUCCACGCGUGGGCUUAGCGAGAGUACCUGAAGAACAAGCAUCGGCUAACUCCGUGCCAGCAGCCGCGGUAAUACGGAGGAUGCGAGCGUUAUCCGGCUUUAUUGGGUUUAAAGGGUGCGUAGGCGGAAUAUCAAGUCAGCGGUAAAAAUUCGGGGCUCAACCCCGUCGUGCCGUUGAAACUGGUGUUCUUGAGUGGGCGAGAAGUAUGCGGAAUGCGUGGUGUAGCGGUGAAAUGCGUAGAUAUCACGCAGAACUCCGAUGGCGAAGGCAGCAUACCGGCGCCCAACUGACGCUGAAGCACGAAAGCGUGGGUAGCGAACAGGAUUAGAUACCCGUGUAGUC